rnacentral:miRNA from 12 species
GGCUGCGGUGGCCUGCCUCCCUCCCCCGAGGAGGAUGAGGAGGGGUUGGUGAUG